UCCCUCCGGGACACCCUGGUCCACUCCUCCAACACCCCCUACUCCUAAACCCCCUCCUACGGCACCUCCCCAUGCGAACGCAAUAUAUGCAACACCUGCCCCUUCACUUCCUCUCUCCUUGCUAAGAUUGACACUUAUUAUGCACAUUACUUGAAUGGAGAUUUAUUUGUUACUUUAUACUCAUCGACGUGGAGGUGAACCUGUUUUGUAACAUUAGCAACAGGGAUUGGUAAAAAGCCAGUAAUUGAAGUCACAUUGUAAAUUUGAAUACUGCAAUCUCCACAUAUUGAACAAAGUGUUCCUUUUACUGCUGGAAGGUUGCUGGCAGAUGACCAGCUGAUACUUAAUUCUCAGGUCUAUUUCCAGUCUGUUAGCCAUAUACCACUUCAUGCAGGUGGCAAGGAUAGCAUCCAAUUACUGUCCAACCAAUAACAGCUUACAUUAAUAUUGCAUUCAUUGUUUCAAAGCACUUCCUAACGGAGAGGUUAAACUCAGCUGAAGAAAUGAGAGAGGAUAUGGUUGAACUGAUGGGGCAAUAGAUGAAGUUUGAGAAGUAAUGAACAGAAACAUGGAGGCCAUGGAAUGGAAUGUGCAAACUGGAAAAACUGUCCAAAACAGGAUAAGAGGAGGAAUGAGUUCUGACAAUAGUCAUAAACCUGAAAUGUUAACACAGUUCAUCUCCAUAGAUGCUGCCAGACCUGCCAAGUAUUUCCUAUUUGUAGUAUACCAAAAUUAUUAAUUUCAAUGAUAUAUUAAUAUAUUCUUGAUAUAUUCUGUAACAGGCAAGUGUGCAGCAUGAAUUAUGAUCACUGAGCAUGAAAAAAAUUGUUUAAUUCAACCACAAUUAUCUAACAACCUUUUGAUGUUUAUUCCUCAGUUAUGUGUGCUGAGUUCCAACCAGAUACUAAUGCAAAUGCAGAUUAAAGAUUUUUGAAGUGGAGAUGAAAA